GACACCCUACGGGAGGCAGCAGUGGGGAAUAUUGCACAAUGGGGGAAACCCUGAUGCAGCAACGCCGCGUGAGUGAAGAAGGUUUUCGGAUUGUAAAGCCCUAUCGGCAGGGAAGAAGCUGACAGUACCUGACUAAGAAGCCCCGGCUAACUACGUGCCAGCAGCCGCGGUAAUACGUAGGGGGCAAGCGUUAUCCGGAUUCACUGGGCGUAAAGGGAGCGCAGGCGGCACGGCAAGCCUGGGGUGAAAACCCGGGGCCCAACCCCGGG
rnacentral:rRNA from 1 species